GCGUGAACUCGUGUUCAUUCAGUAGGCUGUCAGUAAAGCACGAGGAAGGACGCAUAUCGAAGCAGCGAGGAAGGACACAAAGCAGAAAGGCUGAUGAGUCUAUGAUUGGUGAUCUGCACCUUCUUCGUAACCCAAGUUUGUUCUGAUGUCUACCAUCAUUCCAGCUGACUCUCACAGUGGUGAACUUUAUAACAGCUGUCAUGGGAACCAGAACUAUUACCUCGGUGAAAGCCAAGACAUUUUCAUUGUUCAACUAACCAAUGCUAAUCAUGUGAUGCUUGUGAUUGUUGAGAGUGCAUGUUCAUUCAGCACACAGUUGGUAAAGGACAAAAAAAAGAGCACAGAGCAUGGAAGGAAGGCUUGAGAGCUAAGACUUUUAUUAUUUCCAUGCAUGGAAAUUGAAAAGAUGAGGGUCAUUGUGUAGAGAUCCAGGCGCUUUAUUCCCAAGAUGAUGUGAAAUGGUGCGAAGUGUUGUGUAUGUCUUCUGCCUUCACUCUCUACUAGACCACUACUGCAUGGAUCUUCAGAUCUUCAAUUAGUA